rnacentral:rRNA from 1 species
UCUUCCCUCUUUCCUCGUGCCUAAUACAUGCAAGUCGAGCGAACAGACGAGGAGCUUGCUCCUCUGACGUUAGCGGCGGACGGGUGAGUAACACGUGGAUAACCUACCUAUAAGACUGGGAUAACUUCGGGAAACCGGAGCUAAUACCGGAUAAUAUAUUGAACCGCAUGGUUCAAUAGUGAAAGACGGUUUUGCUGUCACUUAUAGAUGGAUCCGCGCCGCAUUAGCUAGUUGGUAAGGUAACGGCUUACCAAGGCAACGAUGCGUAGCCGACCUGAGAGGGUGAUCGGCCACACUGGAACUGAGACACGGUCCAGACUCCUACGGGAGGCAGCAGUAGGGAAUCUUCCGCAAUGGGCGAAAGCCUGACGUAGCAACGCCGCGUGAGUGAUGAAGGUCUUCGGAUCGUAAAACUCUGUUAUUAGGGAAGAACAAAUGUGUAAGUAACUAUGCACGUCUUGACGGUACCUAAUCAGAAAGCCACGGCUAACUACGUG